CAGGACAUAAUUUAUGUAAUUUAUGCAGCUAGUUGAUACACUGAUCUCAAGAUAAAUUGUUUUGCUAUGUGCCAGAGGCAGUUGUUAUCUGUGACUUCUCCUUGUCUCCUCUUUCCUUCUAUUGGCCAGCAAUCUGAAGGCCACUCCCUCUGAGAACUUCUGCCAUUGAUUCAGCCACUGGAGUGGCCCAGAGAGGACAACAGUCUAAAAGCAUGCAAACAUGCAUCAGAGAUGUUAUGCUAACAGAAACAACAGUAGCAAUGACAAAGGCAUUGUCAUUUGAUUCAUUUGGGAGUUUCAGUCUGAAGAAAUGUUGAGCAAUGGCUCUCACCCUUGUCCCACAGCUCCCCUGCUCAACUCAAGAAGGUGUUGAAAUAGGCUGCAGAAAUUCCCAGCCAGGAGCCCUCACAAGCUGUUGUAUGCGGACAAACUCAGGGAAUUUGAUGUCUCCCAAGUGAUGCUUCUCCAGGGUUGGGCGACUCCUAAGGGCAAGACAGCAUUUGCCCAGUGGCCUUUGGGAUAAUCUGCACAUGUUUAAGGGCUUGAAACAAGCAACAGAAGCAACUACUUUGCCCCUAGC
rnacentral:lncRNA from 1 species